rnacentral:rRNA from 1 species
GACGAACGCUGGCGGCGUGCUUAACACAUGCAAGUCGAACGGAAAGGCACUGCCUUUGUGGUGUGCUCGAGUGGCGAACGGGUGAGUAACACGUGAGUAACCUGCCCUUGACUUUGGGAUAACUUCUGGAAACUGGGGCUAAUACCGGAUAGGAGCUACUGCUGCAUGGUGGGGGUUGGAAAGGUUCGGCGGUUGGGGAUGGACUCGCGGCUUAUCAGCUUGUUGGUGGGGUAGUGGCUUACCAAGGCUUUGACGGGUAGCCGGCCUGAGAGGGUGACCGGCCACAUUGGGACUGAGAUACGGCCCAGACUCCUACGGGAGGCAGCAGUGGGGAAUAUUGCACAAUGGGCGGAAGCCUGAUGCAGCAACGCCGCGUGCGGGAUGACGGCCUUCGGGUUGUAAACCGCUUUCGCCUGUGACGAAGCGUGAGUGACGGUAAUGGGUAAAGAAGCACCGGCUAACUACGUG